rnacentral:rRNA from 1 species
CAGUAGGGAAUCUUCCACAAUGGGCGAAAGCCUGAUGGAGCAACGCCGCGUGAGUGAGGAAGGCCUUCGGGUCGUAAAGCUCUGUUGCCAGGGAAGAAUAAGGGUGAGGUCACUACUCACUCGAUGACGGUACCUGAGAAGAAAGCCCCGGCUAACUACGUGCCAGCAGCCGCGGUAA